GUGACCCCCAGGAAGGAGACAUCCAAGGAGCUGCAGUGGAAAGAGCUGUGUUUAUUACUAGUUGCAGCAAGGAAGAGCACACACCAUGGAGAACUGUGGGGCGCCUCAGUCAGAAGGUGUUAGAGAAGACUUAGCAUAGAAAUUGGGCUUGUGUUAGGGGAUUUGGGAGGGUCUGCAGAAGUGGGCUUCAGCUCUUUACUAGAUGCUAUCAGGAAGAUGGGAGGGGGGUUAAUCUUGUGAGUGGGAACUUUAAUCAAUCUUUUGUAGGAAGGAGUCUAGGGCCAGACUAAAGAUCUAAUUGGUAAAAGAGCAGCAGUCCCUUAUUGCCAGUGUCGGGUGCUUGGCUAUUGUUGUAGUUUGGGCAAUGUUCAUAUUUCUCUCUGAUCAGAGAUAGCUCCCUCUUUUCCUGUUUUUGGGUUAGGGGUGAGUGGUAAUAGCCCCACUGUUUCUGGCCCUGGGGCACUGCACUAGCCCACGUAGCUUUUCCCCUCACUGUGACCACACUAUUGCAAACAGCUCCUGAGUGAAAUCCUCCUUGAAUGGUCUAAUGUGAGUGUGUUGUUGAUUCUUGUUGAGACUCUCCCUGAUGCUGGAGGCUCCUACAAAUUUAGACUGAUUUAUCCUUCCACAGCACUGGGUGCUGAUCUUCACUUGGAAAUGAAGGGUUAUGAGGAUGGAGGGAUCCAUCUGGAGUGCAGAUCCACCGGCUGGUACCCCCAGCCCCACGUCCAGUGGAGAGAUGCCAAAGGGGAGGUCAUCCCAGCUGUGGCAGCACCUGUGGUUGCAGACGAAGUGGGCCUGUAUGCAAUGGCAGCGUCAGUGAUCAUGAGAGGAAGCUCCGGGGAGGGGGUAUCCUGUACCAUCAGAAAUUCCCUCCUCCAGCAGGAAAAGACAGCCAGGAUUUCCGUCGCAGACCCCUUCUUCAGGAGCGCCCAACCCUGGAUCGCCGCCCUGGCAGGGAGCCUGCCCAUCUUGCUGCUGCUUCUUGCUGUGGCGGGUUACUUCUUGUGGCGACAACAAGAGGAAAAAAAGACUCUGUUGAGGGAGAAAGAGAGAGAGCAAGAGAUGAGAGAAUUGGCACGGAGUGCAACAGAGCAGGAACAAAACAUAAGAGAGAAACUCACGGAAGAACUCAAGUGGAGAAAAAUCCAGUACAUGGCUCGUGAGUGGCUCUGGCAUUUUCUUUCCAAUUAUCACUUAUGACUCUCUCUGCUUGGAUAUUUUCCAACCCUUAACUCUGCCCAGGCUUGGGGAAUGGCUGUGGUCCCUGUGACAGGGAAAGAAAAUAAGUGUGGGUCAUGGAGAAACCCCCAGAAGGAGAGUAUUUCUCAUUCUCUCUCUCAGAAAAAGGAGGCCUUCAAUUUCCCUCCACUGAGGCCUACAAACUUUUUAGUCCUGAGAGACACUAAGGAAUAUCCAGGGGUGCACUUGAGAAGAAAGGGGGAAGAGGUGGAUGAGGUGCCUUGUCUAUGCCAGGAACCUGACUAAUUGCUUUACAAAAUUGAUAUGCUGUUGAGGAAAUAAGAAAAAUGGGAGAUUAUAAGGAAUGAGAAGAUCAGAAAAGAAGGAGGGAGAAAAGUGUUCCUCAUAUACAGAAGUAGGUACAGUGGCUCAGUUGGUAUAGAUUUAUUGUAACUACUUUCAAAAAUUAGUCCCUGAAAUUUCUCAUUAAGUUUCCCAGAUGAUUUUCAGAAGAAGGUAGGAAAGAAUACAGAUAGAUACAGAUGUAUAUACAUACAUACACACUUACAGACAUGGUGACAGCAAUACCCAAGUAUGGGAAUAUAGAUACAUACUGAAUAGAUCAGCUGGACCACAUCAGGAAGGUAAUAACACACUGCCUGUGGUGUCACUAGUGUGAUAUUCCUGGAUGUGAUAUGAAUGAAGAGAGGGAGGAGAGAAUUGAACAUGCAGAGGGAGAAGGUAGGGAAGAGUGGAGUGGUUAAAAAGAAGAUUAGAUGGAUGUAAAAAGAAGGCAGAAGGGCAGAGUUCACGUGACAUCUCUACCUUUCUUUCAUUGCAGUUGGUGGGAAUUCUCCAGCCUAUCAUGGUGAGUGACACUCAUGUUCUCUGAGUUUCCUGGGACACGUGCCCUGAGUGUUCCAGCCUUUUCUCUACUGUCACCCAUUGACAUUCUCACUUGGAAUAAUCAGAUCUAACUCAAAGGCUCAUUUUCAGUAGGGGCUUCCACUUCUGCUUUUCAGGAGCCUCUGAGAGAAGCCUGAGGCUGCUGGCACUCAUGCACACACCCUAGCAAACCCUGGCCAUGCUUCUGGUAGCCCCUCCUGACAGAGGGAAGGGAGCCCACCAUUUUGUACAAGUUGCCACUCAAGAAAAGGAGAGAGAAAAGACUGAGUGAGAAGAAUGGGAUGGGAAGAAUAGAAAUAUUGACCUUUUUCUUAUCUAUGUCUGCUUCCUUUCAGAAUGGAAAGUGGCCCUCUUCAAGCUGGUGAGUAAAAUCACUGUUGUUCCCUAGGCCAACAGCCUGGAGGACCAGAUCC
ensembl:lincRNA